CCUGUUUGAAGAUGGGGGGACCAUCCUCCAAGGCUAAAUACUCCUGAUUGACCGAUAGUGAACCAGUACUGUGAAGGAAAGGCGAAAAGAACCCCGGUGAGGGGAGUGAAAUAGAACCUGAAACCGUGUACGUACAAGCAGUGGGAGCAGAUUUAUUCUGUGACUGCGUACCUUUUGUAUAAUGGGUCAGCGACUUAUAUUUUGUAGCGAGGUUAACCGAAUAGGGGAGCCGAAGGGAAACCGAGUCUUAACUGGGCGAAUAGUUGCAAGGUAUAGACCCGAAACCCGGUGAUCUAGCCAUGGGCAGGUUGAAGGUUGGGUAACACUAACUGGAGGACCGAACCGACUAAUGUUGAAAAAUUAGCGGAUGACUUGUGGCUGGGGGUGAAAGGCCAAUCAAACCGGGAGAUAGCUGGUUCUCCCCGAAAUCUAUUUAGGUAGAGCCUUGAGCGGACACCUUCGGGGGUAGAGCACUGUUUCGGCUAGGGGUCCAUCCCGGAUUACCAACCCGAUGCAAACUACGAAUACCGAAGAGUGAUACUCAGGAGACACACGGCGGGUGCUAACGUCCGUCGUGGAGAGGGAAACAACCCAGACCGCCAGCUAAGGUCCCAAAGUCUAUAUUAAGUGGGAAACGAAGUGGGAAGGCUUAGACAGCUAGGAUGUUGGCUUAGAAGCAGCCAUCAUUUAAAGAAAGCGUAAUAGCUCACUAGUCGAGUCGGCCUGCGCGGAAGAUGUAACGGGGCUCAAAUAUAGCACCGAAGCUGCGGCAUCAGACGUAAGUCUGUUGGGUAGGGGAGCGUUCUGUAAGCGGAUGAAGGUGGCUCGAGAGGGCUGCUGGACGUAUCAGAAGUGCGAAUGCUGACAUAAGUAACGAUAAAACGGGUGAAAAACCCGUUCGCCGGAAGACCAAGGGUUCCUGUCCAACGUUAAUCGGGGCAGGGUGAGUCGGCCCCUAAGGCGAGGCUGAAAAGCGUAGUCGAUGGGAAACGGGUUAAUAUUCCCGUACUUGGAUAAACUGCGAUGUGGGGACGGAGCAGGUUAGGUUAUCGCACUGUUGGAUAUGUGCGUUUAAGUUGGUAGGUGAGAAGUUUAGGCAAAUCCGGACUUCUAUAACACCGAGAGAUGAUGACGAGGCUCUACGGAGCUGAAGUAACCGAUACCACACUUCCAGGAAAAGCCACUAAGCUUCAGGUUUAUCUAAACCGUACUGAAAACCGACACAGGUGGUCAGGUAGAGAAUACUCAGGCGCUUGAGAGAACUCGGGUGAAGGAACUAGGCAAAAUAGCACCGUAACUUCGGGAGAAGGUGCGCCGGCGUAGAUUGUAGUCCCUUGCGGGCGAAGGUUGAACCGGUCGAAGAUACCAGCUGGCUGCAACUGUUUAUUAAAAACACAGCACUCUGCAAACACGAAAGUGGACGUAUAGGGUGUGAUGCCUGCCCGGUGCUGGAAGGUUAAUUGAUGGUGUAAUCGAAAGAGAAGCUCCUGAUCGAAGCCCCAGUAAACGGCGGCCGUAACUAUAACGGUCCUAAGGUAGCGAAAUUCCUUGUCGGGUAAGUUCCGACCUGCACGAAUGGCAUAAUGAUGGCCAGGCUGUCUCCACCCGAGACUCAGUGAAAUUGAAAUCGCCGUGAAGAUGCGGUGUACCCGCGGCUAGACGGAAAGACCCCGUGAACCUUUACUAUAGCUUGACACUGAACAUUGAAUUUUGAUGUGUAGGAUAGGUGGGAGACUUUGAAGCAGUCACGCCAGUGAUUGUGGAGUCGUCCUUGAAAUACCACCCUUUAACGUUUGAUGUUCUAACGAAGAUUACGAAACGUGGUCUCGGACAGUGUCUGGUGGGUAGUUUGACUGGGGCGGUCUCCUCCCAAAGAGUAACGGAGGAGCACGAAGGUUUGCUAAUGACGGUCGGACAUCGUCAGGUUAGUGCAAUGGUAUAAGCAAGCUUAACUGCGAGACAGACAAGUCGAGCAGGUACGAAAGUAGGUCAUAGUGAUCCGGUGGUUCUGAAUGGAAGGGCCAUCGCUCAACGGAUAAAAGGUACUCCGGGGAUAACAGGCUGAUACCGCCCAAGAGUUCAUAUCGACGGCGGUGUUUGGCAC
rnacentral:rRNA from 1 species